CACAACUUUUCUUUGCCUGAUCUCCAUUCAACUCAAUCUAUCUCAAAGCAUCAGGAAUAAAUAAUGCGUUGGGUUCAAUUUGCUUUCUUUUUCAUGCUCUUCAGUGAUGGUCUGUCAUUGGUUCAGCUGGUGGAGUCCGGAGGCGGUCUUAGAAGACCCGGAGGCUCCAUCCAACUCUCCUGUCGAGCCUCAGGAUUCACCUUCAGCAGCUACUAUAUGUACUGGAUCAGACAGGCUCCUGGGAAGGGGCUGGAAUGGGUGGGCUACAUAGAUACAACCGGAAGUUCCAGUGUUUUCUCGGAUUCGGUGAGAGGUCGCUUCACCAUCUCCAGGGAGAACUCCAAGGGCUUGGUGAAGCUGCAAAUGAACAGCCUGAAGCACGAAGACACAUCCAUCUAUUAUUGUACAAGAGACACCAGAGACACAAUGAGAGGAAAUGAAUCUGCAGCUGGGCAAAAACCCGCCUCUGCUCCUAUCAGCUUUCCAGCCUGAUUCAUCUCCUGGAGACUGA